CAAUCCAGUAGCUGAGCAUUAAGAAAAGGAGCCAGACGCGGUGCCUGCUCAGGCUGCUCAGUCGAUGUGAGGACUAUGAUGAAGGCUUCCCAACAGGACAGUCCGAAGGACACCCAAAUCCGGAGGGCUACAGAAUGACAGAAAGGAGCUGGGAUCAGCACCAGGAGAGCGACCUGGCUGUGAUCGCAGCGAUGAACAAUGAACCAGAAGGCAGAGUGGAGAGUGAGGAUGACACCCGGGAUGGCAACCACAGACCAGGAAGGCUGAGCCGGGAAACAGAUGCAUUUUUUGGCUUCUCUUUUUAGAACAUGGGUUAUUUGGGGCCUUUUCAGCCUCAUUUUUGGGCGCCCAGGCACCAAUUCUGAGAAACAGGAAAAGUUGCACUCAGCAUCUCCUCGCUAGACUAUGCAAUCCGGCAGUCAGAACCCUGAAAGGAAUAAAAAGCAAAGCAUGCUGGUCCUUCUCCAGGGGCUGGCAUUUGUUCUCCUUCUGCAGAGACUCAUUUCAGAUUUGCCUCAAUGUAAUAUGCAUAAGGGGUUAAGUCACUAGGGGCACCCCUUACACUCUCUAGAAGAAAGCUAAGACAAGGAAGGGGUUAAACAAAGGAGUGGGGCAAAACAGACACAGGUGGAGGAAUGUAAGUUUUGCAGGUGAAUCUGGGGGUGGGGGGUUAUCUACCAACAAUUAUCUACCCCUUAACCAGACAUAAGCCUUGAAAAUUGACUUAAGGCAUUUAAUCGUGCUG
rnacentral:lncRNA from 10 species